GACGUAGGGCGCGAGCGUUGUCCGGAUUUAUUGGGCGUAAAGAGCGUGUAGGCGGCCAGGUAGGUCUGGUGUGAAAACUCGAGGCUUAACCUCGAGAUGUCAUCGGAAACCAUCUGGCUAGAGUCCGGAAGAGGAGAGUGGAAUUCCUGGUGUAGCGGUGAAAUGCGCAGAUAUCAGGAGGAACACCGAUGGCGAAGGCAGCCCCCUGGGCUGAGAUUGACGCUCAGGCACGAAAGCGUGGGGAGCAAACAGG
rnacentral:rRNA from 1 species